rnacentral:lncRNA from 1 species
GCUCAUUCAAUGUCUGGAGCAAGCUUUCUGCACUCCACUGCCGGUGCUUUCUGGCUUCAAAAGCAGCUUCGAGACUGAGGAAUAGUAGGCAGGAUUAGAAUAAGGCCCGGGAGUUCUACAACUCUGCUGAAUUUAAAAGGACCAUGAUCUUGGUCAGCUAAACCACACCCGAUGGCCAAGGGGCAGAGGAAAAGAUGGCAGAGUAGAGACUCUUGGACUUACUCAUUUGGAUUUUGGAGUUUUACCUGACUUGGUCAAGCCUCAUGCCAGAUCCAGAUUGUGCCUGCUUCCCUUUCACCUUCCAUCAUGAUUGUAAGUUUCCUGAGGCCUCCCCAGCCAGGAUUCCUGUACAGCCUGUGGAACCAUGAGCCAGGUAAAAAUGGUGCUACCCUUGGAAAUCCAAGAGCAGCUUCAAGAGUCAACUAUACCAGCAAUCCCUAAAGCUGGAGAAUUUAUGCCCAUGGAAAAGUCUGUAGCGUUUUGCAAACCUUGAGGCUGAGGAAUAGACCUAGUUCCUGCAGCAGAUCAAAAUGGUAGCCCCUUUUCUUUCCAUGAAAAGAAUUUCUACGGAGACAG